rnacentral:rRNA from 1 species
UGUAUUAGAGGCAUUGCCUGCCCAGUGACUAAAGUUAAACGGCCGCGGUAUCCUGACCGUGCAAAGGUAGCAUAAUCACUUGUUCCUUAAUUAGGGACUAGAAUGAAUGGCUAAACGAGGGUUCAACUGUCUCUUACUUUCAAUCAGUGAAAUUGACCUUCCAGUGAAGAGGCUGGAAUCUCCCAAUAAGACGAGAAGACCCUAUGGAGCUUUAAUUUACUAGUUCAACUUAUAUAAAAACAACCUAAUGGGCUAAAACAAAAUAAAUAUGAACUAAAAAAUUUCGGUUGGGGUGACCUCGGAGAAUAAAAAAUCCUCCGAAUGAUUUUAACCUAGACUCACAAGUCAAAGUAAUACUAAUAUCUUAUUGACCCAAUUAUUGAUCAACGGACCAAGUUACCCUAGGGAUAACAGCGCAAUCCUAUUUAAGAGUUCAUAUCGACAAUUAGGGUUUACGACCUCGAUGUUGGAUCAGGACAUCCCAAUGGUGCAGAAGCUAUUAAUGGUUCGUUUGUUCAACGAUUAAAGUCCUACGUGAUCAUU